rnacentral:tRNA from 1 species
GCCGCUGUGGUGAAAUUGGCAGACGCAACGGACUCAAAAUCCGUCGAGGGCGACCUCGUGCCGGUUCGACUCCGGCCAGCGGCACCA